rfam:Triticum aestivum genome assembly, contig: Triticum_aestivum_CS42_TGACv1_scaffold_561052_7AL
GUUAUACUCCCUCGGUCCGGAAAUACUUGUCGGAGGAAUGGAUGUAUCUAGACGUAUUUUAAUUCUAGAUACAUCCAUUUUUAUGCAUUUCUCCGACAAGUAUUUCCGGACGGAGGGAGUAUUAA